AGCAAAUUGAAAUCUUAAUGGAAUUUCAGUGACCAAAGUUGGUACUUUAAUUAUUUAACUGAAAAAUUUAUAUUAUUUUUACUACUUAGCAAACCUAAAGCUGAUUUACUCUAUUAUUAAUCUAUUACUACUAAUUAUAUUAAUAUUUACUUGUAUAAGAUGAAAAAAAUCUGUAAUCUCCUUCUCGAAGAAGCGACAGUGGCUGUGGAAAUCUUUGUCUUUCGCUAACAUUUUCAAUCACCAUAUAUCGAUUUCUGAUUUCUUUGGAUUACAGUAGCAACUGGGAUUGUGAUACCGAUCGAUUUCUGAAUUUGACCUUUGUCCUCUUCUUUUCUCUGUAUCUUUUUGUUUGUUUUCUAUUUUUUCAUUGUUUGGAUUGGAGAGGAGAUAAUCUGUUGUUUUUAUACAGCAUCAUUCAUUCCGGCGGUAUUUAUUUAGGGAAAACUAGAAAGCUAUCCUUUUGAUGAGUCUGAUUUUGUUAAAGUUCGUUUCUUUUUCGUGAAUUGUGAGGGGGGUAAGGAGGAUGGGACUGCAAUCUUCUGGCACAUUCAUUGAAUUUGCCGGAGGAUUCUACCAUCACAGUCACUGGAAAUCCAAUUGCUGAAUUUAGUCCCUUUGAGCUCCGAGGUCUGUUUUAUUUCUAAUUGUUUAUUUUAUCACAUUUAACACACGUAGAUCAGUGGUGGGUGGGAUUUUAUUGGGGGAGGAGGGGGUGAUGGAUGAAGUUAAUAGUAGUAGCAAGGAAGGUGACUCCCUGACAUUGGAAUCGGCAGUGGAUGUGAGUUCAACAUCAUUUUCGUCAACAAACGUUCUGAUACCGUGGCGUCCUAGGAAGCUUGCGUUUUGUCCUUAUUCGCCUUCCGUGAACACUGAUUCAAAGCCCCAGUUAUUGAGAGUUGUUGUUAGAAGGCCUGUAAGUGAUCUUUUUUUGUUCUGCAUACUCAAAUUACUGAAAAUUGUUUUCAACUAAAGCAUAUCAACAUUAGCACUAUCAGUGAAUAAUAGGCAACAAAUUGUUGGAGUUCUUUUACUAGUUUUAACAGCUAUUAUGUUCUUAUGGCGUGGUUUGUGUUUGUAUACAUUGUUUAUUCGUCAGUCUUCCUUUCUUUUAAAUGAGUUUUUGAUUUGCUG
rnacentral:lncRNA from 1 species